rfam:Schistosoma curassoni strain Dakar, Senegal genome assembly, scaffold: SCTD_contig0000842
AUCCAGCUGAUGGGUCCCGGGCAGGACAAAACGAGCGUCCUGGAU